rnacentral:rRNA from 1 species
AUUGAACGCUAGCGGGAUGCCUUACACAUGCAAGUCGAACGAGUGGCGAACGGGUGAGUAAUGCUUGGGAAUCUAGCUUAUGGAGGGGGAUAACUACGGGAAACUGUAGCUAAUACCGCGUAACAUAGGAUGAGCCCAAGUGGGAUUAGGUAGUGGGUGAGGUAAAGGCUCACCAAGCCGACGAGCUCUAGCUGGUCUGAGAGGAUGACCAGCAACACUGGGACGGGGACACGGCCCAGACGCCGACGGAGGGCAGAAUUGGGGAAUAUUGCGCAAUGGGGGCAACCUGACGCAGCCAUGCCGCGUGAAUGAAGAAGGCCUUCGGGUUGUAAAGUUCUUUCGGUAGCGAGGCGUUAACUACAGAGGAAGCACCGGCUAACUCCGUGCCAGCAGCCGCGGUAAUAC